rnacentral:rRNA from 1 species
CCUACGGGAGGCAGCAGUGAGGAAUAUUGGUCAAUGGACGAGAGUCUGAACCAGCCAAGUAGCGUGAAGGAUGACUGCCCUAUGGGUUGUAAACUUCUUUUAUAAAGGAAUAAAACGAGGCACGUGUGCCUUUUUGCAUGUACUUUAUGAAUAAGGAUCGGCUAACUCCGUGCCAGCAGCCGCGGUAAUACGGAGGAUCCGAGCGUUAUCCGGAUUUAUUGGGUUUAAGGGGAGCGUAGAUGGGUUGUUAAGUCAGUUGUGAAAUUUUGAGGCUCAACCGUAAAAUUGCAAUUGAUACUGGCAGUCUUGAGUACAGUUGAGGUAGGCGGAAUUCGUGGUGUAGCGGUGAAAUGCUUAGAUAUCACGAAGAACCCCGAUUGCGAAGGCAGCUUACUAAACUGUGACUGACAUUGAUGCUCGAAAGUGUGGGUAUCAAACAGGAUUAGAUACCCCAGUAGUC